ACAGGACCCUUUUGUUAGGGAAGGAGGAAGAGCAUGUGUGUGAGUGGCUUCACCCUUGGACAGCAGCUGGAUCUCAUUUCUUUGUUUGGCCUCUAGCCGCCCUCUUGCGUGUUGCUAGCUCUACAGAGCCAUGAUCAUCAGGACAGGAAAAGCAAGGGAGGGGGUCAUCGGAGUGUGGAACCUUCUGUAUAUAAGAGGGAAAGCUGAGCAGGUUAUGAUUGAAGGGAGGGAAGAAUUUUUUUUUUUUUGUCCAGUGUAUCCCAAAAGCAAACCACAGGAUUUUAGGUAAUUGCAAAAUAUAUAUGUAGAGAAUGGGCUUUGCUGAGGGAUACAGGAAGACCAAUUUGGCUAAAUAAAGGUACUUAAAAGGGCAAUAUAUAAAACAGGAUCACAUGGGAUUUUUUAAAAAAAUCUUUCUUUCUGUGUCUCUCUGUCUUCUAUGCAACCACAUGGUUUGUUCCUUAAGAUUUGUGCCUUCCCCAAUUAAAUUGAGAUAUUUAUUGUGGGAAUGAUCAGUGUGUGUGUAAACCUCAGAAUUUUGUUUUCCUCUCUGUGUCCUUGUUUGUGUGUGUGUGCGUGUCUAAGUCUUUGUGUGUCCUCGAGGUAACUGUUGCAACUGUUAAGUGUCUCUGAUCCCUUCAGAUAUGAAUUUUAAAUUGUUAAGAAUUAAAAACACUAAGAGAAAAUGUCUUCUCCCAGUCUGGUCUGGCCAACUAGACUGGAUGAGGAACAGAGUUCAAUUUUCUCUCCUCUCUGUGCUUUUAAGAAAAACCCAAGGUUAUUAACGAAUGUUUUAAGUUCAUUUACAAGAAAAGUUUCAUCCUUGCAUUUACUGUGUGUUUAAAUGAUUUUACCUGUUCAUCCUUUUCCUGAAGCAUGUGAAUCCAGUUUUUUUCCUUUCUCAUCUGUUGUGUCUCCAUUUUGUUGAAAUUGAUUUACCUGUUUAGUAACUGCAAUACUGAUGUGAAAGGAAAAAACUGGAAUCAAA